UACGUAGGGGGCAAGCGUUGUUCGGAAUUACUGGGCGUAAAGGGCGCGUAGGCGGCACGGCAAGUCAGGAGUGAAAGGCCUGGGCUCAACCGAGGAACUGCUUUUGAGACUGCCGAGCUAGAGUGCAGAAGGGGCAACUGGAAUUCCCAGUGUAGCGGUGAAAUGCGUAGAUAUUGGGAAGAACACCUGAGGCGAAGGCGGGUUGCUGGGCUGACACUGACGCUAAGGCGCGAAAGCCAGGGGAGCAAACGGG
rnacentral:rRNA from 1 species